UCUUUCUCUCCCACUUCAACCGGUGUCUCUCUCGCCUCCACCACUCUCUCAACACCUCCACGCUUCCCUCAACCUCGUCGUCACCGCUGCCAACAUACUCAACUCAGACCCAUCAGCAAAUUCGAAGAAUGAACUCACUAUUUGAAGCCAAAUCCCCACGCCUCGUAGAGCGCUUUUUAGACCCAGAUCAGAGAGCAAGGUUGGGGUUUGGAGAGAAUCGGGUGUAGAGAAGUUGAUGAAGCUCUCUCUUCACGGCAUAGCCACUAGUCCGGAUCUCCAUUUCAGACGAUACUAGCCUUUUUCUCAUCGGAAAUCCCUCAAAUCACCGCUUCCUACAUCGGAAAUACCUAAGCUUCUCUCUCUCCUCAUCAUCUCUCUUCUCUCUUGUUCCUUUAUACUAGCUCCUCACCUCUUCUUCAGCUCUGUUUCCACUUUCUCUCUACUCCAUUCAUUUGGAGACCCCUUUGCUGAUAUGGGUGCAAAUACUCCCGUGUUCUUCAGUCUUUAAUGGAACAAUAUGCUGUGAUAGGAGCAAUAUUCGUUUUGAUAUUUGUGUUAUGAAAGGGGAUGUUAGAACACACUCUGCUUCCUCUUCAAUCUUCCUUUACACCUCAAGAGACGAAUAAUUAUGGUGAUGAAGAGGGAGAUGAGGUAAUCCAGCAUGAAAACAUCAGACCAUAUACAUGAAAAUGGGAAAAGGGUACUAUGGACACCAUUGAUGAAUUAGACCUUAUUGCAAAGAAAGAGCAUUCUGGUGUAAAUCAUCGUUAUGAUGUCCGGCAUGAUGU